GCCUCUUCCUCCCUCCCUCCUCCUCCUCCCCCGUUCCCUGAACCCCUGGCAGCCCGCGGGAGCAGCGGGGAUGGAGCCGGGACAGGGCAGGUAGACAAAAUAAAUCCUUCUCCAGCUUGAGACCAAGGACAACCCUUACAAGCUUCAGGCCCAAAAAGGAAACAAGAGGGAACUGAAGAGAGCAAACGAGGAGGAUGAGACUUCAGACCCUGAAGCUGAAAUUGGACAAUUAACCCUGAUAUGAAGAUGGACGAAAAACUUAUCAAAGUGUGAAACCUCAUGACUGGUCAUCCAUUUUGUGACCAUUUUGGGUUCAUCUUGGGUGUAGCCCUGGCCAGACUCUUGCUCUGCCCAAGGUGUAUCCUUUUAAGGCCUUUUAAUGAAUAACUACUUUAUUCUUUUA